rnacentral:rRNA from 1 species
AUUGAACGCUAGCGGGAUGCUUUACACAUGCAAGUCGAACGAGUGGCGGACGGGUGAGUAUUAUAUCUGUACGUGCCCAGUAGUGGGGGAUGACUACUCGACAGAGUGGCUAUUACCGCACACUCUUUGAGCGGCCGAUAUCGGAUUAGCUAGUUGGUGGGGGAAAGGCUCACCAAGGCAACGAUCCGUAGCUGGUUUGUGAGGACGACCAGCCACACUGGAACUGAGACACGGCCCAGACUCCUACGGGAGGCAGCAGUGGGGAAUGGUAGACAAUGGGAGAAACCCUGAUCCAGACAUCCCGCGUGUAUGAGAAGGCCUUCGGGUUGUAAAGUACUUUUGGCAGAGAAGCUGUAUCUGCAGAAUAAGCACCGGCUAACUACGUGCCAGCAGCCGCGGUAAUAC